rnacentral:rRNA from 1 species
GACGAACGCUGGCGGCGCGCUUAACACAUGCAAGUCGAGCGAAGCGGCGGACGGGUGAGUAACACGUGAGUAACCUGCCUUAGACAUUGGGAUAGACUCGGGAAACCGGGAUCAAUACCAAAUGGUCUAAGAUGGACUCGCGUUGCCUUAGCUAGUUGGUGAGGUAACGGCCCACCAAGGCGACGACGGGUAGCCGGCGUGUGAGGGUGGGCGGCCACAUUGGAGCUGGGAAGCGGUGCGGACUCUGCGGGAUGCAGCAGUGUGUGAUAGUGCACAAUGGAGUGAACUCUGAUGCAGCGAGGGCUGGUGAACGAGGAAGGCUGGCGAGUCGUGAAGUGCGUUUAUAUGGGGAGCGGUACCUGAAGAAAAAGCCCCGGCUAACUACGUGCCAGCAGCCGCGGUAAUAC